rnacentral:rRNA from 1 species
GAAACCCGGUGAUCUAGCCAUGGGCAGGUUGAAGGUUGGGUAACACUAACUGGAGGACCGAACCGACUAAUGUUGAAAAAUUAGCGGAUGACCUGUGGCUGGGGGUGAAAGGCCAAUCAAACCGGGAGAUAGCUGGUUCUCCCCGAAAGCUAUUUAGGUAGCGCCUCGUGAAUUCAUCUCCGGGGGUAGAGCACUGUUUCGGCUAGGGGGCCAUCCCGGCUUACCAACCCGAUGCAAACUGCGAAUACCGGAGAAUGUUAUCACGGGAGACACACGGCGGGUGCUAACGUCCGUCGUGAAGAGGGAAACAACCCAGACCGCCAGCUAAGGUCCCAAAGUCAUGGUUAAGUGGGAAACGAUGUGGGAAGGCCCAGACAGCCAGGAUGUUGGCUUAGAAGCAGCCAUCAUUUAAAGAAAGCGUAAUAGCUCACUGGUCGAGUCGGCCUGCGCGGAAGAUGUAACGGGGCUAAACCAUGCACCGAAGCUGCGGCAGCGACACUAUGUGUUGUUGGGUAGGGGAGCGUUCUGUAAGCCGUUGAAGGUGGCCUGUGAGGGUUGCUGGAGGUAUCAGAAGUGCGAAUGCUGACAUAAGUAACGAUAAAGCGGGUGAAAAGCCCGCUCGCCGGAAGACCAAGGGUUCCUGUCCAACGUUAAUCGGGGCAGGGUGAGUCGACCCCUAAGGCGAGGCCGAAAGGCGUAGUCGAUGGGAAACAGGUUAAUAUUCCUGUACUUGGUGUUACUGCGAAGGGGGGACGGAGAAGGCUAUGUCGGCCGGGCGACGGUUGUCCCGGUUUAAGCGUGUAGGUGUGUGCUCCAGGCAAAUCCGGUGCACUUUAACACUGAGGCGUGAUGACGAGGCACUACGGUGCUGAAGUGACAAAUGCCCUGCUUCCAGGAAAAGCCUCUAAGCAUCAGGUAACACGAAAUCGUACCCCAAACCGACACAGGUGGUCAGGUAGAGAAUACCAAGGCGCUUGAGAGAACUCGGGUGAAGGAACUAGGCAAAAUGGUGCCGUAACUUCGGGAGAAGGCACGCUGAUAUGUAGGUGAAGUGGUUUACCCAUGGAGCUGAAAUCAGUCGAAGAUACCAGCUGGCUGCAACUGUUUAUUAAAAACACAGCACUGUGCAAACACGAAAGUGGACGUAUACGGUGUGACGCCUGCCCGGUGCCGGAAGGUUAAUUGAUGGGGUUAUCCCUCGGGAGAAGCUCUUGAUCGAAGCCCCGGUAAACGGCGGCCGUAACUAUAACGGUCCUAAGGUAGCGAAAUUCCUUGUCGGGUAAGUUCCGACCUGCACGAAUGGCGUAAUGAUGGCCAGGCUGUCUCCACCCGAGACUCAGUGAAAUUGAACUCGCUGUGAAGAUGCAGUGUACCCGCGGCAAGACGGAAAGACCCCGUGAACCUUUACUAUAGCUUGACACUGAACACUGGUCCUUGAUGUGUAGGAUAGGUGGGAGGCUUUGAAGUGUGGACGCCAGUCUGCAUGGAGCCGCCCUUGAAAUACCACCCUUUAAUGGCUGGUGUUCUAACGUGGGCCCGUAAUCCGGGUUGCGGACAGUGUCUGGUGGGUAGUUUGACUGGGGCGGUCUCCUCCUAAAGAGUAACGGAGGAGCACGAAGGUCAGCUAAUCCUGGUCGGACAUCAGGAGGUUAGUGCAAUGGCAUAAGCUGGCUUGACUGCGAGCGUGACGGCGCGAGCAGGUGCGAAAGCAGGUCAUAGUGAUCCGGUGGUUCUGAAUGGAAGGGCCAUCGCUCAACGGAUAAAAGGUACUCCGGGGAUAACAGGCUGAUACCGCCCAAGAGUUCAUAUCGACGGCGGUGUUUGGCACCUCGAUGUCGGCUCAUCACAUCCUGGGGCUGAAGUAGGUCCCAAGGGUAUGGCUGUUCGCCAUUUAAAGUGGUACGCGAGCUGGGUUUAGAACGUCGUGAGACAGUUCGGUCCCUAUCUGCCGUGGGCGCUGGAGAACUGAGGGGGGCUGCUCCUAGUACGAGAGGACCGGAGUGGACGCAUCACUGGUGUUCGGGUUGUCAUGCCAAUGGCACUGCCCGGUAGCUAAAUGCGGAAGAGAUAAGUGCUGAAAGCAUCUAAGCACGAAACUUGCCCCGAGAUGAGUUCUCCCUGACUCCUUGAGAGUCCUGAAGGAACGUUGAAGACGACGACGUUGAUAGGCCGGGUGUGUAAGCGCAGCGAUGCGUUGAGCUAACCGGUACUAAUGAACCGUGAGGCUUAACCUU